rnacentral:misc_RNA from 1 species
UUGAUUGAAUUCAAAUUCUUUAUAUUCAGACAUAAAAUAAAGCAGGUUUAAUAAAUGCUAACGGCAGGCUAACGCGGCAAUGCCACCGCUGCCGAAGCGAAUGAAAGAUUUGAUUCACAAAAGGUUGAAGCUUCAAGGCUGAAACAGCCAAGAUCGCUUUGUUUUGGUAAUGAUCCUUCCGCAGGUUCACCUACGGAAA